CCAGAGUUUCCCAUCUGCACUCUCCACCAGAAAUAUAAAUAAACAAAGGAGUCAUGUAUUUUGCAAAUCCCUUUGAAAAAACAUGGACUUUUGGCUGCUGCUGGGUAAACGUUCAGAUGGUGUCAAUAGCAGCAGAAAGUGACUACCAAUAUUUAUACGCUGUAUAUAGCAGCUUGCGCUGCUGGCAAAGGGAAAGAAAAAGUUUGCUUCCCAAUCCCGGUGACUCUGUAGGAACUUCUAAGGCACCUAGACGAGAGCAGUUAACCGUCACUCCUCACGAGAUGACGGGAGAGGAAGAAAUAUUACAGCCAGUAACAAUAAAGGGACGAUUGUGGGUUGGAAUUGCACUAGGCAGACACUUUUGCUGCUGCUUUGAGAAGUCCCAUGGAAUUCAGACUCCAUAACUUCGAGAGUGUUCCUCACCCCGCCUUACUGUGCCAGCCCCCAAGUAACAUUACUGGGCAGCAUGAAAUGGGUAACUAAGGGGCGAAAACCGUUACUUGAAAAAAAUGACGCUUACAGCCCGUUUUUAGCAGCCCUUGGAGCCUUUGAUCAUCUACCAGCUGCCUCUGGCAGUCUGUGGCUCCGUGAGAAAAUCUAGGCCCAGAGAACCUCGGAUACCAUAAGACAAGGCAUCGCCUCUGUCCAGCUCUUCUCAAGGUGAAACGUUAGCCUGGGCAUUUCUCCUGAAGCAAAAUAAUUCUGCCAGAACCUCAAGCAUUUGGCCCGAAGAUGCUGUUUCACAGUGUGUGGUAAUAAAGCAGACCUUGGCUGCGUCUUUACAGG